AUUGAGCGCUGGCGGCAUGCCUUACACAUGCAAGUCGAACGGCAGCACGGGGCAACCUGGUGGCGAGUGGCGAACGGGUGAGUAAUGCAUCGGAACGUACCUUUCAGUGGGGGAUAACGUAGCGAAAGUUACGCUAAUACCGCAUAUUCUGUGAGCAGGAAAGCAGGGGAUCGCAAGACCUUGCGCUGAUUGAGCGGCCGAGGUCAGAUUAGCUAGUUGGUGAGGUAAAGGCUCACCAAGGCGACGAUCUGUAGCGGGUCUGAGAGGAUGAUCCGCCACACUGGAACUGAGACACGGUCCAGACUCCUACGGGAGGCAGCAGUGGGGAAUUUUGGACAAUGGGGGCAACCCUGAUCCAGCCAUGCCGCGUGAGUGAAGAAGGCCUUCGGGUUGUAAAGCUCUUUCGGCCGGGAAGAAAUCGCACGGGCUAAUACCCUGUGUGGAUGACGGUACCGGAAUAAGAAGCACCGGCUAACUACGUGCCAGCCGCCGCCGUAAAAC
rnacentral:rRNA from 1 species